rnacentral:rRNA from 1 species
GACGAACGCUGGCGGCGUGCUUAAAAACAUGCAAGUCGAACGGACUUCUCAUGAAGCUUGCAAUUGAGAAGUUAGUGGCGGACGGGUGAGUAACGCGUGGGCAACCUGCCCCUGAGCCCGGGAUAACAGUUCGAAAGGACUGCUAAGACCGGAUAUACUUGCGGUGAAGCAUUUCACUGCAAGGAAAGGGAACGCUCAGGGAUGGGCCCGCGUCCCAUUAGCUAGUUGGUGAGGUAACGGCCCACCAAGGCGACGAUGGGUAGCCGGCCUGAGAGGGUGAACGGCCACACUGGGACUGAGACACGGCCCAGACUCCUACGGGAGGCAGCAGUUGGGAAUCUUCGGCAAUGGGCGCAAGCCUGGACCGAGCAACGCCGCGUGAGUGAUGAAGGUUUUCGGAUUGUAAAGCUCUGUCUUCCGGGACGAUAAUGACGGUACCGGAGGAGGAAGCCACGGCUAACUACGUGCCAGCAGCCGCGGUAAGCACGAGAGUA